UAUACUGAAUCAGGAGAGAAAUAUGCACAGAUUAAGUGCUGUUUACAAGCCACAACAGUUAUAAACAAAUAUGUCAGUGGAUUUUGAUGAGAGAGGACAACAGGGUAGCAUUAUUAUGGAUUAUGAACUGGUAUUUUGACCAGAAGCGAUGGUUUAAAGUUAAUACUGGCUUCAGUCUUAAUGAUGGAUCUUUUUCUUACAAACACGCAGCAUUUGAUUUCGCAAAGACAUUAAUUGGUGGAUUGAUUACUUGUGGAUUAUUGUGAUGUUUUUA